GCGGUCGUGGUGGAAUGGCAGACACGCACGCUUGAGGGGCGUGUGGGGCAACCCGUGGAAGUUCGAGUCUUCUCGACCGCA
rfam:Tumebacillus sp. AR23208, complete genome.